AUUCAACGCUGGCGGCGUGCCUCAGACAUGCAAGUCGAACGAUUAAGACUCCCUUCGGGGAGUGCAUAAAGUGGCGCACGGGUGAGUAACACGUAAGUAAUCUACCUUCGAGUGGGGAAUAACAUCGGGAAACCGAUGCUAAUACCGCAUAACGCAGCGGCACCUAAUGGUGACAGUUGUUAAAGGAGCAAUUCGCUUGAAGAGGAGCUUGCGGCAGAUUAGCUAGUUGGUAAGGUAAUGGCUUACCAAGGCUACGAUCUGUAUCCGGUCUAAGAGGACGGUCGGACACACUGACACUGAAUAACGGGUCAGACUCCUACGGGAGGCAGCAGUCGGGAAUUUUGGGCAAUGGGCGAAAGCCUGACCCAGCAACGCCGCGUGAAGGAUGAAGUUUUUCGGAAUGUAAACUUCGAAAGAAUGGGAAGAAUAAAUGACGGUACCAUUUAUAAGGUCCGGCUAACUACGUGCCAGCCGCCGCCGUAAGAC
rnacentral:rRNA from 1 species